GUACUCACUUUGGCAGCACAUGUACUAAUUUGGAACGAUACAGAGAAGAUGAUCAUGGCCUAAGUAAGGAUGACACGCAAAUUUACCAAGAUAUAUAUAUAUAU